UACGGGAGGUGCGAGCGUUGUUCGGAUUGAUUGGGCGUAAAGAGCACGUAGGCGGGCUUGUAAGUCGAUUGUGAAAUCCCCAGGCUUAACCUGGGAACUGCAGUCGAAACUGCUAGUCUUGAAUGUUCGAGAGGUUGGUGGAAUUCCAGGUGUAGAAGUGAAAUUCGUAGAUAUCUGGAGGAACACCGGCGGCGAAGGCGGCCAACUGGCGAAACAUUGACGCUGAGGUGCGAAAGCGUGGGGAGCAAACAGG
rnacentral:rRNA from 1 species